UGUCAGCUGUCCGUCUGUCCCUCUAUUCCAGGCCAUCUCAGCUCAAGUUCUAAUCUCAUCUCCUCAUCUUUACUUCCCUGCCUGCCCGGACUUCCCUCGCCACUCCAAGGCCACUAAUGUCUUCCCUCUUACUCUGUGAUCGUUUCUAUACUUCUCUUUGUUUUUCAGGAUUCUUUUAGUUGUCUAUGUUAAAAAAAAUAUAUACUUUCUUUUUUAGAUAUAUAGAUGGAAUUGGCUUUCAAAUGGUACUACUGACACCGCCACGUCACUCACUGCAGAGGCACAAAAUGACAUACGCGAAGGAAGUGGGUUUGAAAUGGUACUAUUGACACCGCCACGCCACUCACUGCAGG
rnacentral:lncRNA from 1 species